rnacentral:rRNA from 1 species
UACCAGACUCCUACAGGAGGCAGCAGUGGGGAAUAUUGGGCAAUGGGCGCAAGCCUGACCCAGCAACGCCGCGUGAAGGAAGAAGGCUUUCGGGUUGUAAACUUCUUUUAAGAGGGAAGAGCAGAAGACGGUACCUCUUGAAUAAGCCACGGCUAACUACGUGCCAGCAGCCGCGGUAAUACGUAGGUGGCAAGCGUUGUCCGGAUUUACUGGGUGUAAGGGGCGUGCAGCCGGGCUUACAAGUCAGAUGUGAAAUCCUGCGGCUCAACCGCAGAACUGCAUUUGAAACUGUAGGUCUUGAGUACUGGAGAGGCAGACGGAAUUCCUGGUGUAGCGGUGAAAUGCGUAGAUAUCAGGAGGAACACCGGCGGCGAAGGCGGCCUGCUGGACCGUGACUGACGUUGAGGCUCGAGAGCGUGGGGAGCAAACAGGAUUAGAUACCCUAGUA